rnacentral:lncRNA from 1 species
CGGCCGCCGCCCAUUCCAAGCCACUGGAGCUUCAGCUAGGCAAAGAGGGAAUUCACUUCCAGAAAGGAAGCUUUAGUCUCAAAACCAAGGGAGGCAACUACAGAACUGGACCUUGGCUGAACGUAGGAGAGGUGGAAAGGAAGAAGAGGCAGAAGGUGAGACGGAAAUGAAUCACACAGCUUGGAACCUGAGACUUCAUCAUCUCCGUCUCUGCGUGGCGGGGAUUCCUGAAGGAAAUGCUCCUACAGUUCUGCGUGGGUUGUUUCUGAAGUUGUCUGUCCCCUGGCUUCCCCUUGUGGCCCAGUUUCAAUCUAUUUGUAAACCUACCAGCCCUCAAGAGCUCCCCAGACAGAAACUGCCAGUCAUGACAUUGUCGUAUUUACUCUCAGCCACUUUUAGAGACUGUCUAGGACACUGAUGUUUGAGCUAGUCUCCUCUUUCCCCUGGGAUCCCACAUACUUGCUCAUCUGGAUAAGACCAAUAUAUCCGCAUUUUAAUUUUUAUUAAACCGCAUUUCCAGGUUUAAUAUACAGCCAAGCUUGAAAAACCUUUCGUUAUUUAGUGUUUCAGAGUGUGGGCCUGGACCGAGGCCCCUGAUUCUGCCGUUUCAGCAUCACCAUCCAAACCCACUGAAUUAGAGAAUCAGAGAAUGGACCCUCAACAUGCCAGAGACCUCACACUGUUAUAUA